rnacentral:tRNA from 1 species
GCCUUCGUGGUGUAGUGGUCAGCACGCUCGGUCUGUAUUCGAGAGGGCCGUGAUUCGAAUCCUGCCGAAGGCA